CAAUUUUGUCUCAAAUUCUCAUGACAACUGUCAUAACUUUUCGUCAAUCAAACAAUCAGUUCAGAUCGUGGUUCUUAUUCAAGAACGUUCUGUAAUUUACCUCUUUUAAACACAAAUAAUUCUGCAAAUAAUUUAAGGAAGUAGGAGGAACUUUGAAGUUUUGGCUGUACUGAAAUAUGACGAACCCACAUUCCGCUCAUAUCGUUGCCGCUGCGCCCAAGGUAAGAAUAAGUGGCCCCAAAAGACUCGCCUAUGCGGCCUUUAUGGGCUUUUGUGUGCUGAGCUUUCCAUUUGUCACUGUCUAUUUCAUCCCCGCCAUGAGAGACAGAAAUGGACCAAUCGAACGCCCUAACGUAUGAAUUGAGUAGAUUUUAAUUUGAAAUGUAUUAAACUAUGUAUAAAAUAACCCCUCUUUAAUAAAUAUAUACUUUAUAUAUU